rnacentral:siRNA from 1 species
ACAAUUGUUAUUAAGUAAAGCCC